UGAGCCCCAUUGGAGCCGGGACUACAACGCCCGUCAUGCCCCGCGCUCCACAGAACCACCGGGAUCGGCCCCCCAUUUGUCCCUUAAGUGUCCCCCAGACCCUCCAGGAUCCCUCACUGCCCCCUUAGCGCCCAUUCGGGACCUCCUAAAAGCGUCCCCGGAUCCCCUGAGUGCUCCCGACCCCACAGAUGCCCGGUACAGCCACUUCUGGGAAUUCAUCUCCUCUCCUCCCCCGCGGCCCCAGAGCCCCUCAGAACACAGUCCUGCGCCUAAAACUCCUGCCGUGCCCCGCACCCUAAAGAACCUUGUUAGAGGUCCUCGAACUCCCCGCAAGUUCUCUCGAACCGCUUACGUUCCCCCGAGGAUCUCAAGUCGCGGCUCGGACGCAGGAGUCUCCGCCCAGAACCUUCCCGGACUCCCAAACAAAGCGUUCGAGCCACUUCCGGGACUACGGCUCCCAUCAUGCUCUGCGGCGCAUGUCCAGUGCUGUUCCAGCCGGGACUUCAUCUCCCGUCAUGCCCUGCGCCCCACUGAGAGCCAUUGCAGCUGCGUCUCGGACUCCCGUGAUGCUCCGCGGCCAUGUUAAACUGCAUUAGCCCCCCGUCUACAACUCCCAUCACACCCCACGCCCCAGAGAAGCCUGUCAGGGCCCCCCCAAGGGCCCGCCCGGAUCCCGAAGGGCCCCAAAUUCCCCUCCCUGACCUCCAAGGGUCCCCCUGGACCCCCAAGUGCUGCCCCAGACCACGAACUGUCCCUCAGGAUCCCUGAGUGCCCCUCCAAGUGCCCACUCGGCUCCCCCAAGUGUCCUCCAGACCCUCAAGUUCUCUCUGAAUUCCCUCUCCAGACCCCAAACUGCCCCAAAUGUGCCCCAGAAAUGUCACCAGAGACCCCAAAGUGGCCUUUUUUACCUUUUCUGUGAAAAUGAUAAAAAAGGAUUACAAAAGGAUUUAAAAUGGGGCUAAUUAGCAUUAAGGAGAAAUCAAGAGCCACACUGGACAGUGAAUUAAUGAAGGGAAUCGUGUUACUCAGAACCAAUGACCAAUAAAUUUUUUGCUUUCUAAAAUGUCUGUAAGAGAUGGUCCAAAGAUCCCUCAUCUGCCUCACAGCCGCCGUCAAGGACAGAGAUUGAAGCCCUCCCCAAGGACUGAGAUGAGACCCUUCAAAUUCUAACCCAGAGGUGCUGGCCUGACUGGAGCGGGAUGUCUGCCAUGGGAAGAGGGAUGUUUCCCAUAGGAACCAGUCUUGAAACAACGGGCCCUGCUCACUGCUGGCACCGGUUUGUGCUGUUCAGACCUGGACUGUCUGUGCCUGUUCCCAAUGGAUUUAUUCUCCACUGUGCCCUCCAUGUGCCGUCCUGCUCCCUCCCGGCGGUAGAUUAUAAAAGAGCCCUGAGUUAACCAAAGGCUUUGUGACUCUCCCCGACGUGACCAGACAGAACUAUUGGCUGGACCACGAGGAUUUCAUCUCCCUGUUGGUAGCUAUUCCCCUCAACCAACCCUCCUUUCUCUCUCUCUCUCUGUCCUUUAUCUCCUUUCUAAUCCUUCUGUUGCAUCUGCUGUGGGCACACAAUAAAAGGUGCAUUUGUUUUGAUUAA